AACAUUUAUGUCUUGCAACAUUCAAUCGAUCUCUUCGUUUCCCCACAGUGAACGCAUGAGACUUCAUCUAUAAAUGGGAAGAGAAUUCACUGAGUAGUCUAUUUCUAGGGUUCAUGCUCAAUAACCUCUGUUAAACCGGAGGGAGUGUUAUUGGAUUCACGGUCACUUUCUGGUGGAAGCUGCCUUUAGUGUUGAAUCAUCGGGAUUUCACUCACUAUUCAAUUACAAAGUGGUGUCCUCUCUCUGCCUUCUUGUGCGAGUAGCGAUCGUGGUCUCAGCUUUCUGUUGCACACGGUUACCACUUCUUAACCAGUCUCAGAGAGAUCAAAGAAAUAUUGAGGCUGGUCAAGAAAUACAGACAAUCCAGUGGAUUAUGGCGAACAUACGGAUUGACUGUGGACCAACAGUUUGCGACAGUGUGUUUGAUGGUCUCGCCACCCUCAUACAUAAAAUUGGUUAUUGCAAGGGUUGAGCCUCAGGUCGUCGUAGCGUCCAACGUGAAUCCUAAGCUGGCAGAGGAGGACGUCUCUUCCUAAAAGCAACAUCAGGAACACAUUCUUCUUUGACAAAGAAUCUGGCCAUAGACCAGACCAUAUUUGAAGCGUAAAGAAUGACUUCUUAAACAUUUUCAUCUGUGGGGGUCCUCUGCACUGGGGAAGUUGAUAGUAUUGAAACUUCGAAGGGUUGGUGCUACACACCUUCUCCAAAUGAUGUACGAAGCUCAAUGUGGAUUUUCUUCAUUUACAUGUGGUUCUUGCCAAAAUGAAAACGCAGUUGGGGUUCUUAGGUACAGUGUCCAGUUAACAGUUUCAGAUGGCUUAGAGUCGGUUCUCUUUGUGGCAUUUGAUGGUACGAUGAGUAAUCUUAUCAAUGCACGUGCUGCAGAGGUUGCACAGCUUAUGGUAGCAACAACAAUCACUACCUUUAAAUCAUGAGUCAUGUCACUAAUAGAGUAAUAGACACGAAUACCUAAAUGGUUUUGACGUAUAGGACCCAGGUGUUGAGGACCCGACGAAAGAUCUCCCCCACAGUGCAUAGAAUAUGUUCUGCGUUAACUCUUUCUGGUAUUUAGACUGUUAUUUUGUUUAUUCGCAGAGGGGAGAUAACAACCCCGAAGAUAAUGUGUCUGGAACUAAAGAAGUGAUUACUAAGCCCUCCAAUAAUGUAACCAAAGUACCUGCUGCUGCCUCUGGUGGGAUGGCUGCCUUGCGGUGAUACACAGCGAGCUACUGCUUCUAACAGCGAACUUCCCUCAUGAACGUAUUGCUUGUGAAGACACUGAUGAGGAUGCACAACUCCAGUAUGAUAGGUGCACCGGGAAAAAGCUGAUGGAAAAAGCUGAUGGAACCGUAUUUUAUAAACUAUGGAUUACUGAAUAUUGUAAAUAAUAAAAAUGAUAAAAUGAUACCAAAGAGUAAGAAAAUGAUGAUACAACUGCAGAGGCGAUAUAUUAUCUCAUUCUUUAACUCAAAAUACAUCUUGUAGUGCGACAGUUCGAUAA